GGUGGUGCAAUUUCCUAACCUUGUUCUAUAUCGUUUUUGUACUGUUGCACACAGUUCCUGUUUUCUAUGAGAAGUAUGAUGAUAAGAUAGAUGCAUUUGCUGAGAAGGCAAUGAUCGAAAUCAAGAAGCAGUAUGCUGUACUAGAUUCCAAGGUUUUAAGUAAGAUUCCCAGGGGGCCAUUGAAGGAUAAGAAGAAGGUUUAGAGGAAUUUAUAUGCCUGUCACUGUGU
rnacentral:misc_RNA from 1 species